UACGUAGGGGACUAGCGUUGUCCGGAAUCAUUGGGCGUAAAGAGCGUGUAGGCGGCCCGGUAAGUCCGCUGUAAAAGUCAAAGGCUCAACCUUUGAAUGUCAGUGGAUACUGCCGGGCUAGAGUCCGGAAGAGGCGAGUGGAACUCCUGGUGUAGCGGUGGAAUGCGCAGAUAUCAGGAAGAACACCAACGGCGAAGGCAGCUCGCUAGGACGGUACUGACGCUGAGACGCGAAAGCGUGGGGAGCAAACAGG
rnacentral:rRNA from 1 species